GUCGUUGGACAGUUUGAAUAUCAUGUUUGACGAUUGGCAUGUCAAACUCGUUCGCGAUAGACAAACGGUUCGAUGCCGUAAAAAAAUCCCACCAACAAGAUUCGCCAGAGUGGAGUUUGUUCUCAUCGGACAACAUCGUGUGACGACAAUGGCUUCAUAUUCAGGGGCGGAGUGUCUUUUUCUCCCACUACUGCUAAGCAUUUUUUUCUCGUCAAGUUUCGGUUACCUUGAUGGAACUACUGAACCGGAAGUGACUGUUUCCCAGGGGAAUCUGCGGGGAAACAUUAUGACCACCACCCAUGGCCGAAAGGUGUCGGCCUUUCUGGGAAUUCCUUAUGCUCAACCACCGGUAGGAAAUAAGAGAUUCGCCAAUCCCGUGCCGGCGGGUGGUUGGAAGGGAAUCCGAAACGCUACUGCCGACGGAAACAUGUGCCCCCAACUAAGUAACAUAGACUAUGUCACUUUUGUUGGGGACGAAGACUGUCUAAACCUGAACGUGUAUACGCCGCAGAUAAGCAACCGUAAGAACUCCUCGCUACUUCCGGUAAUGGCAUAUGUAUUCGGAGGGAGGUUCUUGACAGGGUCUACCAACUCAUCCGUCUACAGUCCGGCGUACCUUUUGAACCAAGAUGUAGUUCUCGUCACCUUCAACUAUCGUCUGGGUGUUCUGGGGUUCUUGAGCACUGGCGACGAAGUGGCUUCCGGAAACUGGGGCCUAAAAGACCAGGUCCUUGCGCUCGAAUGGGUGCAGCGUAACAUCAGACACUUUCACGGUGACCCUGAUCGAGUGACGUUAUUCGGCCACAGCUCAGGGAGCGCUUGCGUUCACCUUCUGACGCUUUCGAAAUUGACAAUUGGACUCUUCCAUAAGUUCAUUAUGCAAAGCGGAGCUGGCUUUCCGCAAUGGGUCUACAGACCCAGGGCUGCCUACGCAAAGCGCGCAUUCGAACUUGGCAAUUACAUUGGCUGUUCAAAUGAAACUUCGGAUUCCCUCGUCAGCUGUUUGCGGAAAAAGAACUUCUUGGAUGUUGUAGGCGUAUUCAAACAGUUUUACGUGUGGCAAUACGAACCAUUCAGCACAUGGGCUUGUACUGAUGAGCCAGAUAUCAAGGGGGCUUUUAUAACAACCAGCCCUACAAAUAUAGUGAGAGCUGGUCAGAUUCGUGAUGUACCUUGUAUCAUGGGUCUCGUUGAAGACGAAGGUUUAGGGACUACUAUAGGCAAGUGAAUGCAAAUUACUUGGAAUUGAUCAUUCGACUGUGAAUCAUGAGUAUAGCAAGGUGAAAAUGGUUGAUUUUGAUAGAAAUUCCAGAAAGUCAACAAAAUGGCAGAAAACAAGCCGUAAAAACAGUACAGUAAUUUCCCACACUAGUCGACCCAUCGGAGCCUUCAAGUCCCUUAAUAUUCCGCAUUCCCACCCCGAUAGACGGAUUUCACUCGUAUACACAUUCUCGUAGAACGUGUAUGCGGCACUACCGGCAAAACCCAAACAUCAAAUUAUGCUGAAUAUAUAAGUACAUUAUGCAACAAGGGAAAAAAGUCGAAGAUUAUUCCCGCAGUUUGAUUUACUACCUGAGCGAAGCGAGAUCUAGAUUUUUUUUUCGCAUUAUUGUGUGUAGAAUUCAGAACCGAGAGAAUGAAAAAAUAAAUGAUAAAAAAUGCAUACAAGUAGCGUAUGUAUGUAGGUUGGCGGGAGUGGGUCCAGAACCACAGGCUCUGGUGGGGGUGUAAGAGGCGAAGUACCCACUGGGUAUUACACAAGAAAAGUGUACAUUAUAGUCGAUUUGGGAACAAACAUAUUCACAUACUUACUGUAGACAGUGGUUGAAUGAAAAUAAAAAACGGACAAUCGUGGAAUAUGAAUGAUUGAAGAAUGAGCGAGGCAAGAUGAAAUAAUAGAAAAAGGCUGACCAUCGAUGAGAAAGUAACAAUUGUUAUCAAUUGGUUCGAAAACGGUGAGUCGGGCCUUAGGCUUACGCUUGAUUAUGGCAUCGACAGAUAAACUCUAACAAAAAUUAAUCAAAAUGAAGAAAACACAACUCAGUAUACUUAAAGACCAGCAUGGAAGUACGAAGAAGAAGAAAAUUACAAACGUCGAAGAAAGUGGUAUUGGAAAAGCAAUU